AUGGACGACUGGGUAACAACAGAGCUUUUCCCCAGAUUUCACCAUCUCUUUGGAGGCCUGGGUCAGCACCACCGUCUGCUGCCAGCCCUCCCAGCGUGCACGAGCCAUCCCUGCUCCCAAGAUACUGAGGUAAAGGGUGCUUCAGAGCAACUACUGAAGAAGUCAUGACCGUGGAUGUGAGCAGGACCGUCCUGCACACACAGCUGAAGGUAUUGUGACCAAAUACCCCUCCUCUUUCAGAGUUAACUGAUGCUGUAAAAGGCCCCAGUGACUUCAGGGAUUUGCAGUCGCACCAUAAGGUACAAACCAAACGUUUAGGACCCACUCAAGUCUGACACUGGAAGCUAAGAAUUAUGAUCCAUGUCACUGGUAACAACACCUAUAUUUAUUUGCAUAAUUCUUCUCCUUAUGUUUCUCAGUCACUUGCUAAUCUGACAGGUCUUAAUUACUGCAGCUAAAU
rnacentral:lncRNA from 1 species